rnacentral:rRNA from 2 species
AGUGGAAGCGUCUGGAAAGGUGCGCGAUACAGGGUGACAGCCCCGUACACAAAAGCGCAUGUGCUGUGAGCUCGAUGAGUAGGGCGGGACACGUGAUAUCCUGUCUGAAUAUGGGGGGACCAUCCUCCAAGGCUAAAUACUCCUGACUGACCGAUAGUGAACCAGUACCGUGAGGGAAAGGCGAAAAGAACCCCGGCGAGGGGAGUGAAAAAGAACCUGAAACCGUGUACGUACAAGCAGUGGGAGCACAGGUUUACCUGUGUGACUGCGUACCUUUUGUAUAAUGGGUCAGCGACUUAUAUUCUGUAGCAAGGUUAACCGUAUAGGGGAGCCGUAGGGAAACCGAGUCUUAACCGGGCGUUAAGUUGCAGGGUA